rfam:Salmonella enterica subsp. enterica serovar Newport str. S09097 S_Newport_S09097_mira454_c867, whole genome shotgun sequence.
UAUGAAGCUAACCCGGUUUUUCUUCGCAUUCUUUUUUUAUCUUCCCCUGACCGGGAGGCGUUUCGUCAUGUGAUCUGAGACUGCGAAGACGAACAAGAAGGCCUCCCC